AUUGAACGCUGGCGGAAUGCUUUACACAUGCAAGUCGAGCGGCAGCGCGGGGGCAACCCUGGCGGCGAGCGGCGAACGGGUGAGUAACAUAUCGGAACGUACCCCGUCGUGGGGGAUAACACAGCGAAAGCUGUGCUAAUACCGCAUACGACCUGAGGGUGAAAGCGGGGGAUCGCAAGACCUCGCGCGAUGGGAGCGGCCGAUAUCGGAUUAGCUUGUUGGUGAGGUAAAGGCUCACCAAGGCGACGAUCCGUAGCUGGUCUGAGAGGACGACCAUCCACACUGGAACUGGGACACGGUCCAGACUCCUACGGGAGGCAGCAGUGGGGAAUUUUGGACAAUGGGGGCAACCCUGAUCCAGCCAUUCCGCGUGAGUGAAGAAGGCCUUCGGGUUGUAAAGCUCUUUCGGCAGGAACGAAACGGCAGGCUCUAACAUAGCCUGUCAAUGACGGUACCUGAAGAAGAAGCACCGGCUAACUACGUGCCAGCAGCCGCAGUAA
rnacentral:rRNA from 1 species